rnacentral:rRNA from 1 species
GACGAACGCUGGCGGCGUGCUUAACACAUGCAAGUCGAACGGAAAGGCCCUGCUUUUGUGGUGUGCUCGAUUGGCGAACGGGUGAGUAACACGUGAGUAACCUGCCCUUGACUUUGGGAUAACUUCAGGAAACUGGGGCUAAUACCGGAUAGGAGCUCCUGCUGCAUGGUGGGGGUUGGAAAGUUUCGGCGGUUGGGGAUGGACUCGCGGCUUAUCAGCUUGUUGGUGGGGUAGUGGCUUACCAAGGCUUUGACGGGUAGCCGGCCUGAGAGGGUGACCGGCCACAUUGGGACUGAGAUACGGCCCAGACUCCUACGGGAGGCAGCAGUGGGGAAUAUUGCACAAUGGGCGGAAGCCUGAUGCAGCAACGCCGCGUGCGGGAUGACGGCCUUCGGGUUGUAAACCGCUUUCGCCUGUGACGAAGCGUGAGUGACGGUAAUGGGUAAAGAAGCACCGGCUAACUACGUG